rnacentral:misc_RNA from 1 species
GAUGAAGAACGCAGCGAAAUGCGAUAAGUAAUGUGAAUUGCAGAAUUCAGUGAAUCAUCGAAUCUUUGAACGCACAUUGCGCCCGCCAGUAUUCUGGCGGGCAUGCCUGUCUGAGCGUCAUUUCAACCCUCAUGCCCCUAGGGCGUGGUGUUGGGGAUCGGCCAAAGCCCGCGAGGGACGGCCGGCCCCUAAAUCUAGUGGCGGACCCGUCGUGGCCUCCUCUGCGAAGUAGUGAUAUUCCGCAUCGGAGAGCGACGAGCCCCUGCCGUUAAACCCCCAACUUUCCAAGGUUGACCUCAGAUCAGGUAGGAAUACCCGCUGAACUUAAGCAUAUCAAUAAGCGGUGGA